UCGGAAAAUUUUCGGACUUUCGGCACCGGCCCAGCCAAGGUGCUGGCGACUCUGCCCAAGGUGCUAGCAACCUUGGGCAAAAACUAGUCGCUCCCGACGUUUUCGGAGCAAUUCUCGAAAUCUGAGAAAACGGCCCCGACAACCACCGUGCCAAAUUCAAUUUCCUACGCGCUCGUAUUUUUUAUUAUUUUUUUCGGGUCGGAAAAUUUUCGGACUUUCGGCACCGGCCCAGCCAAGGUGCUGGCGACUCUGCCCAAGGUGCUAGCAACCUUGGGCAAAAACUAGUCGGUCCCGACGUUUUCGGAGCAAUUCUCGAAAUCUGAGAAAACGGCCCCGACAACCACCGUGCCAAAUUCAAUUUCCUACGCGCUCGUAUUUUUUAUUAUUUUUUUCGGGUCGGAAAAUUUUCGGACUUUCGGCACCGGCCCAGCCAAGGUGCUGGCGACUCUGCCCAAGGUGCUAGCAACCUUGGGCAAAAACUAGUCGCUCCCGACGUUUUCGGAGCAAUUCUCGAAAUCUGAGAAAACGGCCCCGACAACCACCGUGCCAAAUUCAAUUUCCUACGCGCUCGUAUUUUUUAUUAUUUUUUUCGGGUCGGAAAAUUUUCGGACUUUCGGCACCGGCCCAGCCAAGGUGCUGGCGACUCUGCCCAAGGUGCUAGCAACCUUGGGCAAAAACUAGUCGCUCCCGACGUUUUCGGAGCAAUUCUCGAAAUCUGAGAAAACGGCCCCGACAACCACCGUGCCAAAUUCAAUUUCCUACGCGCUCGUAUUUUUUAUUAUUUUUUCGGGUCGGAAAAUUUUCGGACUUUCGGCACCGGCCCAGCCAAGGUGCUGGCGACUCUGCCCAAGGUGCUAGCAACCUUGGGCAAAAACUAGUCGGUCCCGACGUUUUCGGAGCAAUUCUCGAAAUCUGAGAAAACGGCCCCGACAACCACCGUGCCAAAUUCAAUGUCCUACGCGCUCGUAUUUUUUAUUAUUUUUAUCGGGUCGGAAAAUUUUCGGACUUUCGGCACCGGCCCAGCCAAGGUGCUGGCGACUCUGACCAAGGUGCUAGCAACCUUGGGCAAAAACUAGUCGCUCCCGACGUUUUCGGAGCAAUUCUCGAAAUCUGAGAAAACGGCCCCGACAACCACCGUGCCAAAUUCAAUUUCCUACGCGCUCGUAUUUUUUAUUAUUUUUUUCGGGUCGGAAAAUUUUCGGACUUUCGGCACCGGCCCAGCCAAGGUGCUGGCGACUCUGCCCAAGGUGCUAGCAACCUUGGGCAAAAACUAGUCGGUCCCGACGUUUUCGGAGCAAUUCUCGAAAUCUGAGAAAACGGCCCCGACAACCACCGUGCCAAAUUCAAUUUCCUACGCGCUCGUAUUUUUUAUUAUUUUUUUCGGGUCGGAAAAUUUUCGGACUUUCGGCACCGGCCCAGCCAAGGUGCUGGCGACUCUGCCCAAGGUGCUAGCAACCUUGGGCAAAAACUAGUCGGUCCCGACGUUUUCGGAGCAAUUCUCGAAAUCUGAGAAAACGGCCCCGACAACCACCGUGCCAAAUUCAAUUUCCUACGCGCUCGUAUUUUUUAUUAUUUUUUUCGGGUCGGAAAAUUUUCGGACUUUCGGCACCGGCCCAGCCAAGGUGCUGGCGACUCUGACCAAGGUGCUAGCAACCUUGGGCAAAACUUAGUCGCUCCCGACGUUUUCGGAGCAAUUCUCGAAAUCUGAGAAAACGGCCCCGACAACCACCGUGCCAAAUUCAAUUUCCUACGCGCUCGUAUUUUUUAUUAUUUUUCUCGGGUCGGAAAAUUUUCGGACUUUCGGCACCGGCCCAGCCAAGGUGCUGGCGACUCUGCCCAAGGUGCUAGCAACCUUGGGCAAUAAACUAGUCGCUCCCGACGUUUUCGGAGCAAUUCUCGAAAUCUGAGCAAACGGCCCCGACAACCACCGUGCCAAAUUCAAUUUCCUACGCGCUCGUAUUUUUUAUUAUUUUGUUCGGGUCGGAAAAUUUUCGGACUUUCGGCACCGGCCCAGCCAAGGUGCUGGCGACUCUGCCCAAGGUGCUAGCAACCUUGGGCAAAAACUAGUCGCUCCCGACGUUUUCGGAGCAAUUCUCGAAAUCUGAGAAAACGGCCCCGACAACCACCGUGCCAAAUUCAAUUUCCUACGCGCUCGUAUUUUUUAUUAUUUUUUUCGGGUCGGAAAAUUUUCGGACUUUCGGCACCGGCCCAGCCAAGGUGCUGGCGACUCUGCCCAAGGUGCUAGCAACCUUGGGCAAAAACUAGUCGCUCCCGACGUUUUCGGAGCAAUUCUCGAAAUCUGAGAAAACGGCCCCGACAACCACCGUGCCAAAUUCAAUUUCCUACGCGCUCGUAUUUUUUAUUAUUUUUUUCGGGUCGGAAAAUUUUCGGACUUUCGGCACCGGCCCAGCCAAGGUGCUGGCGACUCUGCCCAAGGUGCUAGCAACCUUGGGCAAAAACUAGUCGCUCCCGACGUUUUCGGAGCAAUUCUCGAAAUCUG
rnacentral:lncRNA from 1 species